CGUGUAUUUACCGGGAGACGUAGGGCUGAAGUUUGUUGACGGACACUCGCAAGGAAUUGUGGGAGUGGAGAGCGCAAGUUGAUACCGCCGAUACUCAUCACAUCAGCUGUUCCUCUUCUGGAUACAGGGUCCCACACACAACCUGCUCGAGACUUAAAGCGGAACAUCGGAUCAAGCUAUUAUCCCAGGUUGGCCAACAACCCAGCGAGAAAGGUAUUACGGUAUCUUAUUCAUGAAUGAACAUGUCUGUUUAGUAAAUGUCACCGUGACGCAUGGAUUUUAUUUUAUACUUUAAGCUCUACUCGUAUGUUCCUGUGUAAUCCUUCAGUUUUGUAAUAGUAUGGAAUGUGGACGUGUAUUACUGCGCACCACUGUAGUACACCACACAAAUAUCAACAGAGAUUGAAAGUGUUGUAAAUGUGCACUGUCAGAUGGGUUAUUAGUUUUUAGUGAAGAAAAUCCAAUGGUGAUGGCAAUUAGUUAUAUCUAUGGUUAUUUUAAAAAAUGAAUAGGUUCUCAACUCCUUUACUUCUCUGAGAAGACUAAUUACAAAUAGUUGAUUUCAAAAGAAACGUUUUGAAACAUGAUUGUAAAAUGAUUUGAAAGAGACUCUAGAUUUAAUGAUGGAAACAUCUGUGGCUUUGGAGUUACAUACAUAAUACAUACAUUAGCUGAAGCAUUUACAAUUAGCAUAUGUAGCACCACCUGCAGGGGAAUUAAGGGGUUGCAUACUGCAUCUUGUAUUUUUGUUCAUUACAUAUUUGUUCCAAUAGUUUCCUAAUGCUUUUUUGAAAACGUUCAUUUUCAUUUCCUUACACUUUGUGUUCUUAUUAUGUCACUGUUGUACUUGCAGUGACAGCAGAGCAGUGAUGCAUACAGAAGAAAAAAAACACUCUAAAGAUGAUGUACAGUUAGUCUGCAUUUUUUAAUUAAUUUCUUACAUCUCCAAUGUACAGUAAUGUUAUUGGAAGAUAAGAUGACAAAAAGGCACAAAUUCACAAUAAAUUAAGGAAUAACGGGAGACAGGGCAACAGGGGUGAGAGAGUUAGAGGCAGAGACAAAGAGAGAGAGAGAAAGAGAGAGAGAGUAUGUAGGAGUUGAAAAACAGUUUUGAACAGUGGAGACAGCUGCUUUCAUUCUCUGGUUAUGAAUGGAUGAAUCCAACGACGGUUAUCCGUGAGAUUGUCUCUGUUAAACCACGUUCUCUCAGAUUCUGAUAAUGCUGCAAUGCAAUACAUUUGAUUUGUUCUUAAAAUGCCUCUGAAUGGGAUUUCUUCAGUCACCAGCAGAGGGCAAAAUCUGGCAUAAUUUGAUCUGCUGAUCAGAGUGGAUCAAUGAACCGAUCCAAGCUGCCUUUGUAGAGUGUGUUCCUUUUCAACAAUGGAGGCGAGAGUAGUUCAGAGACUGACCACAGAGAUACAACAACAUUUCAAACAAAAAUAUAUAUCUAUACACUUUCCCGGUUACAGGACGUGGUCCCUGUGAGGAAAGAAUGAGAUGAAGAGGAGGAAAUGAACAGGGUUUCUUUCUCUUUUUUUUAUAUUUUCCUGUCAGUAAAUUCCAGAUCUCAAAUGUUUUGCUGGGAUCAUCCCAAAAAGCGUAUGUAGUAUGGGGUACGUUAUGAUGUCUAUAGCUGACAAACCUCUUCAGAUGUGUUAUCAUCACUACAACUAUCACUCUACACGCCCUCACACCUCAGGGUGAGGUGCCAUUUGGUCACUGUGGUCUUUGUUAUCCUGAAAAUUCUCCAAAGGAAUGGGGUGAUUUAAGUGCCAAGGGGUUGUGUUUUAGGUUUGGCAGGACAGGUCUGGUCUAUAUAUAUAUAUAUAUUUAUAUUUCUAUCUUUAUUUAUGUGUUCAUCUACAGUAAUUUAUUUGCUAUUUACAAAGUCAGUACAUUACAGUACAUCCACAAAUCUCCAUGAUUCGGUUGGUAGCCCCGUCACUGAGUAUAGACAGACAAAGGACACAGAGAAAGAUGAAACCAUCUGUGGCCAGUGUUGUUACUUUAAAGAGGCUACGAUAUGGACGAAACCAUGAUGAGGUGUCAGAACAUGGCAAAAAAAAAAUCAUCAACAACAACAACAAACAAACAAACAAAAACGGUCUGCGCCACCAACAGUCUACAAGUCUAAACUGUUCUGAUUAUAUAAUCACCAACCAAGCCUGGCAACAUUUUCAAAAGUAACUUUAAGGUAUUAUAUUCUGUAAUUUAAAAAAUAAACCAAACACAACUUCACAUAAGAUCAGUCUCUUUCAGAUCUUCAUGGAUGCUGCCCUUUGUCUUCAUUUUCUAGAUUUCCUUUGAUUUUAGAAGAUUCCCUAAUGUUUCUCUAAAACAAAAUAACAGUAUAAUAGAAAUCCAGUAGGUGGCAGUAAUGUGACAAAGAAUGUAGGAAUGCCAUUCAGACCCAAAGAAGCCAAACUAAGAUUGGUUGGCAGGAUUAUCUUAUUACCGCAUUUUUUUGCAAUUCUUUGUUGUAGUUACUGUACAUAAUGAUGGAAACACUUGUUCCAGUACCGGUUUUUGCAGCACCCCCUGCAGGGGGGAAUGUUUGAAAAGAGGAAUCUAGAAUUUUACAUCUCUGCUUAAUCUAGGCAACUACUGAUGAACAUACAGCUUCGUUGUGUGUAAACUUUGUCACAGGAAUUGAUAAAUAUUUAUUUGAUUCGACUCUUGAUCAAUGCAUUUUACACACGCGAUGUAAAGAAUCAAACUUUUAAGUGUGCUUCCUUUUAGCUCUAUACUAGCUUUUUAUUCCACACCACUCCGUGACCUCUUUAAGUUCCCACACUGUUAACAAUGAGUGCCGAAUAUGAAAUGUGAAGAAUGGGUGAAAAGGAAAAUAGAAAUGCCAAACAGACAUCAGUGAGAAGUAGGAAGGCUGAGCCUCGCGACUACAUCCCCCUCCAACUCCAGCAUUAGUCUUCAGAAACACACCAUUGUACCUCACUCACGUACACCCAUGCAUAUACCACAACACCACACUAUCACAAACAACAGACUCCAGGUUCCAGCAGGAGAAAAAACCCCCACUGCAACUAAAGACGGACACAAUCAAAUCAACACCUGGUAAAUACAAUGACCCAAAACUCACUCACUUUCUGAGUGAACGGCAGCACAAAACGUAGAUCUGUGGCGAUAAAAACAGAGAAUCAUGUCUGAUGGUAGUUAUUGCUUGUACUGGAUAAAACCUUUUUAUCCACGGCAGAAAUGAUG